rnacentral:rRNA from 1 species
UUGACUCUGGGAUAAGCCCUGGGAAACCGGGUCUAAUACUGGAUAUGACCUUCUGGCGCAUGCCAUGUUGGUGGAAAGCUUUUGUGGUUUUGGAUGGACUCGCGGCCUAUCAGCUUGUUGGUGGGGUAAUGGCUUACCAAGGCGACGACGGGUAGCCGGCCUGAGAGGGUGACCGGCCACACUGGGACUGAGACACGGCCCAGACUCCUACGGGAGGCAGCAGUGGGGAAUAUUGCACAAUGGGCGCAAGCCUGAUGCAGCGACGCCGCGUGAGGGAUGAAGGCCUUCGGGUUGUAAACCUCUUUCAGUAGGGAAGAAGCUGGUCCUUGGGGGUUGGUGACGGUACCUGCAGAAGAAGCGCCGGCUAACUACGUGCCAGCAGCCGCGGUAAUACGUAGGGCGCAAGCGUUAUCCGGAAUUAUUGGGCGUAAAGAGCUCGUAGGCGGUUUGUCGCGUCUGCCGUGAAAGUCCGGGGCUUAACUCCGGAUCUGCGGUGGGUACGGGCAGACUAGAGUGCAGUAGGGGAGACUGGAAUUCCUGGUGUAGCGGUGAAAUGCGCAGAUAUCAGGAGGAACACCGAUGGCGAAGGCAGGUCUCUGGGCUGUAACUGACGCUGAGGAGCGAAAGCAUGGGGAGCGAACAGGAUUAGAUACCCUGGUAGUCCAUGCCGUAAACGUUGGGCACUAGGUGUGGGGGACAUUCCACGUUUUCCGCGCCGUAGCUAACGCAUUAAGUGCCCCGCCUGGGGAGUACGGCCGCAAGGCUAAAACUCAAAGGAAUUGACGGGGGCCCGCACAAGCGGCGGAGCAUGCGGAUUAAUUCGAUGCAACGCGAAGAA